rnacentral:hammerhead_ribozyme from 1 species
ACCCGGAUGACGAGUCCCAAACAGGACGAAAUGCACAUCCUGGAC